UCUUCAAAAUAGAAUUAGGGAAUUAGGGGUACAGUUUUACCAUUUCUCUUCUGCAUAAGUCGAUAGCACAACCCUAUGCUAUAACAGCUACCGGCGACAACUGCAAUCCAGGAAUCUAUGACAACUAGGGAGUACGACGACAACCCAGGUGACGGCGGCGACGACGGCUCCUUCCUCGGAUACAGGCAAGCCCUAAUCUGCUCGUGGUCCAGCCCAUCUCCGGCCUAAAGCUCCGGCGUCUUCGCGCCUAACUCUCACUCCGACCGUUCGAUCGCUGCCCUCCACCCAUCUCCGGCGUAAAGCUCUUCUCGCUGCCGUGUUCCUGCUUCUCUUUCUUCUUCACAGUGAUAGCCACAAGACUUUGGGUAUUGCUGAGUGUCACGGGCCGCCAACUUCGAUACUCGAAUGGGCGGAACGUGCGGCACUUGUUAGCACUUUUCACUAGCAAGUCAGCCUAGAAUUCACACCUGCGGCAAGCAAACUCAAUGGUUAGCCACGUUACAAGUCUCACACAAGUAAGGGCAAUUAUGAAGCGGGAGCAAACACGAGGCAAGCUAUCCAGAGGCAACAUCCCACACCACAAUCAGAGACAACAACACAUUCAAGUGGCACGCAAUGGCCCAACGAAGGUAACAAACAAGCAACACAUAGACUAUGAAGAAUGCAUACACAAAGGGACAUAGCAAAGCAUCAUUUUAUUCAUAUAAGGCCUUGAUAGGGCAAGGGAGUACACAGCUUAAUUCCCUAUCUGCUGGUGGCCAUGGUACUUCCUUAAGUCACCAGGUCACCCCCCCCCUAAGGAGCAUUCUAAGCAAAUGAAGUCUUCCCAGGAACAUAUAUGAUUUUUGUCUGGGAGACAUAUGCAUAAUUACAAAAGUGCCAUUCCCUACCCCUGAGGUUACUUGGUGCAAGACUUGACUAAUGAUCAAGCACCAAGGCAUGCUCAUACAUACAAAAUGGCCCCCUGGAGAUGUGCCAUGACGCAGCACGUCACACUCUCCCCCACUUAAAUCUUCGGCGUCCUCGACGAACUUACCCCAUGCUGAUCUUCAUUCCUCUGCGUAUGCUUGUGCAAGUCCUCCGCCCUUUCCCAGCAAAUUUCUUCAUCUCCGAGCCCUUUCCACUUCACCAGAAACUCUUUCUUCUUCUUUCUGUCCACGACCACGGUCCUCUCUGCUAGGAUUUCUUCAGGUUGUCUGCUGCUUCGUGGCUUGACGCUGACUCCUUCUCUGGUAGACUGGUUGCGCGCUGGCUCUUCUGGAUCUUCGUGAUACGGUUUGAGGUUGCUGACGUGCAAGACCGGGUGUAUCUUCAUCCAUUCUGGUAAGCUGACUUUGUAGGAGGUCAGGCCCACUUUCGAGAUGACUGGAACAGGACCCUCGUAUUUGCGGACGAGUCUGAUGUCCUUAUUCCCUCGGAAUCUCAGUUGUUCGGGCCUCAGCUUGAUCAUCACUAAGUCGCCUGCUUUGAACUCCAGCGGUCGUCUCUUCUGAUCUGCCCAUUUUUUCAUUCUCUUUGAUGCCUUCUCCAGGUAGGCUCGGGCAAUCUCGGUUGUUUUCUUCCAAUCUUUUGUGAAAUUGAAGGCUCUCGGAUUUCUUCCGCGAUACUCAUCCACUGUGUGGGGUAACAGCGGUUGCUGACCGUUAACAACUUCAAAAGCGCUCUUGUUCGAUGAAGAACUCUUCUGAGAGUUGAAACAAAAUUGAGCUACAUCUAGUAGUUGCGGCCAAUUCUUUUGGUUAGCACUGACGAAGUGCCGCAAAUACUCUUCUAGCAUCCCAUUGAAUCUUUCAGUUUGUCCAUCAGUUUGAGGAUGGUAGCUCGAGGAAAUAUUUAGUUGUGACCCCAAAAGGUUGAAUAACUCCGACCAAAAGGUCCCUGUGAAUCUCCCAUCACGGUCACUAACUAUAUUUUGGGGUACUCCCCAAUACUUAACUACAUACUUGAAGAAAAGUCUCGCUGUCUCUUCUACCGAGCAAUAUUUUGACACCGGUAUGAAGGUUGCAUACUUUGAAAAUCUGUCCACGAUCACUAAGAUCGCACUCAAGUCUCCCGUCUUCGGUAAACUAGUAAUGAAGUCAAGCGACACACUCUCCCAUGGUCGGCUUGGGACUAACAAAGGUUCUAACAACCCUGGCGUCUUGUGUCUCUCCACUUUGUCUUGCGGGCAGGUGAGACAAGUUUUGGUAUACUCCACGAUAUCAUCGCGCAUUUGUGGCCAGUAGUACCCCUGCUUCAACAAGGCAUGGGUUCUCUGCCACCCUGGAUGACCCGCCCACAAGGUGUCGUGACACUCACUCAUUAGUGUCCUCCGCAAAUCUCCCGUCUUUGGAACAUAUAAGCGGCCACCCUUGGCCCACAAAAGAUCGUCCUCUACCCAAAAUUGGCGAGUCUUCCCCUCUUUUGCGAGAUUCAUGAUGGUCUUCGCCACCGGGUCUUUCACCAGGUUCUCCUUAAUGCGCUCCCGAAGGGGAGUGGUCACCAUGCUAGCUGACAUAUUUGCUAGCAAUUUUAGAGCCGCUAACUCAGCUUUGCGACUCAGGGCAUCAGCUGCCUGGUUUAGACGGCCCGCCUUGUGUUCGAAGUGAAAGUCGAAUUCUGCUAUGAACUCCUGCCAUCGUGCUUGUUUAGGGGAAAGCUUUGGCUGGGUGAGGAAAUGACUCACCGCCGCAUUAUCUGUUUUCACCACAAACUUCGACCCCAACAAGUAGUGCCUCCACACUCGUAGACAAUGAAUUACUGCGAGAAGCUCCUUCUCUUGUGCAGUAUACCGCCUCUCUGCCUCUGUGAGUUUGCGGCUUUCAUAAGCUACGGGGUGGCCCUCUUGUACAAGCACCCCUCCCAAAGCAUAAUCAGACGCAUUGGUCUGCACUUCAAAGGGCCUACCAACAUCUGGUAAGGCGAGGACAGGAUCUCGCAUCAUGGCUUCCUUCAGACUCUUAAAUGCUUCGACGCACUUAUCGGUCCACGUCCAAAUUACACCCUUCUUCAACAACUCGGUUAAGGGUGCCGCCCUUCUUGAAUAGCCCUCCACAAAUCUUCGAUAAUAGUUGGCUAAACCAAGGAAGGAGCUUAAUUCUUUCAAAUUUGUGGGGUUCUUCCAUUCUUGAAUGGCCCGCACCUUCUCUAGAUCCAUGUGGAUCCGACCACGUUCUACUAUGUGGCCUAGGAACUUGAUUCUCUCUUGUGCGAAGGAGCAUUUCUCUCGCUUCACAUAGAGUUGGUUCUCUCUCAAUUUCUGAAACACUUGAGAAAAGUGUCGUUGAUGUUCUUCUAUUGUAGAGCUAUAGACCACAAUGUCAUCCAAGUAGACUACCACGAACUUGUCUAAGUAUUCUUGGAAAACUUGGUUCAUCAACGUACAGAAUGUGGCUGGUGCAUUUGUCAACCCAAACGGCAUGACUCGGAACUCGUAUGCCCCAUAUCGAGUCACGCACGUUGUCUUCGGCUCAUCCCCUUCUGCUAUCCGCACUUGAUAGUAGCCUAAUCUUAAGUCCAGUUUCGUAAAGAAUUUCGCUCCACUCAACUGGUCGAAUAAGUCGGCGAUCAAGGGAAUGGGGUAUGUAUUACGCACAGUCACCUUAUUGAGAGCCCGAUAAUCAAUACAUAGUCUCAAGCUCCCGUCGUGCUUUUUCUGAAACAGCACGGGUGCACCAUAUGGUGCCUUCGAUGGCCUGAUGAAGCCUGCCUCUAGUAAAUCCUUCAACUGCUUCCUCAGUUCUGCUAGUUCGGGGGGCGCCAUUCUAUAGGCCGCCUUUGCAGGUGGUUUGGCUCCCGGCACCAGCUCAAUCUGGUGAUCAAUCCCCCUUCUAGGUGGUAAGGCUUUGGGGAGUUGGUCCGGCAUCACAUCCCCAUACUUCUUCAAGACCAUUCGAAUUUCUGGUGGGAUGACUUCAUCCACCGUAUCCUCGUAUAUUGUGGGUAGGAUAAUAUACGUGGGCUCUUGUCUUCUCACGCCCUUCUUCAACUGCAAGGCUGACAGCAGCUUGGUUUCUGGGGGCUGCUCUACUUUAGCAGGCACCACUGCAGGUGUCUCCCCCAUUAUGAGUAAGCUUCCCGUAGCUGGGAUGGGAAUUGCUCCCUUUUCCGUAAGGAAGUCCAUACCCAAGAUCACCUCAAAGUCGUCCAUUCGCACGACCACCAAGUCAGUCUGCCCCUCCCACGAGCCAAUCUUCAUGUUUACCUUUUUAGCCACGCCGGUUGUGGCCAAGGCUUCUGAGUUAACCGCUUUCAUGCGGCCAUGGUCGUUCUCCCAUUUUAGUCCCAAACGUUUAGCUUCGAUCUCCGAAAUGAAGUUGUGAGUGGCGCCCGUGUCGAUCAUCACACUUCCGACCAUCUUACCGUUUAGGGCGGCAUCCACAUACAUUAGUCCCUUUCCGGGGGUCUUCUUCACUUUCGCACCGUGUUUCUUGAGAGCAUUCAGCAUCCGGAGGGCACCCAUGUGCGUAUACUCCUCCUCCUCCUCCUCUGCGUUGUUUUGUUCUGCUUGGGCAAAUGUCGCCUGAAGGGCACUCAUCUGGCCUUUGUGAGGGCAAUCUAUUGACUUAUGAGGCCCGGUACAGAUCCAACAUGUAAGAGGCUUCUUGAACUGGGGGUUGCCACCUUUGCUAGGAGCGUUAGACUCCACAAUCCUUUUCUCUCCUCCCCCGCUCUUGCUCUGCCAAGACUUCCCAAACUUUUUACUCCCAGCAUUACUUCCACUAGUCGACGGAUUGGUCUUCUUGGAUUGAAUGUUCCCUGAUGAGUAAUCAGUUAAUCGUUCGGCAGCAGCCUGAGCAGUGGCUAGGUCAGCCACUCUCUGUCUCUCGAGCUCUUGCUUUGCCCAAGGCUUCAGACCCUCUAAAAACGCGAAGAGUUUGUCCACUUGGAACAUGUCUUUUAUAUCUAACAUCAAUCCAGAGAAUUUCUUAACAUAUUCUCGGAUUGUGCCAGUGUGCUUCAGCUCUCUCAACUGGCGUCGAGCGAUGUAGGCAACAUUUUCGGGGAGAAACUGCGUCUUCAACUCUCGCUUGAGAUCUUCCCAAGUUGUUAUGGUGCAUCUGCCGUUCUGAAUAUCGUCAUACUUUGUCCUCCACCACACUUUGGCAUCCCCAGACAAGUACAUCGUCGCCAUGGCCACCUUGCCAUCUUCCGAUUCAGCUCUCACGGCUCGGAAGUAAUGCUCUAUAUCAAAAAGGAAGUUCUCCAAGUCCUUUGCGUCUCUAGCCCCACCAUAGGGCCUCGGCUCCGGGACUUUUACUCUGCCAUAUUCCAUGCCAAUGGGUCCAGUUGCAGGCUGGCUCCCAACUGCCCUCAUGGUGAGGUUCAGCUUGGUGUUCAUCUCCAACAUUUCCUCUUUAAUUGCCUCAACCGACACCCUGCAAUUCUCUACAAGGUCAUUAAAUGAUUCUUGUAGGUCCUUCAUCGCUCGUUCCAUUGCCUCCAUACGUUCCUCCCUUGGAGGACUAUGGGAUGUGCUUGAAAGGUUUUCUCUCCUCUCGAUUGCUGUUAUGCGGGCCAGCAGAUUGGUCGUAUCCCGCUCCAGCACAGCCACGCGGUUUAGUGCGUUAGUCGUCUCUGGUUCUAGCCUGGCAGAUCUGAGAUCCCUGACUCUUUCGUCCAGGCCAUCAAGCUCUCCAACGCGCCUCUCCAGCGCUUCAAUCCGUUGAGUGUUGCCCACCAUCCUGCAGGGUCCCCAAGCUUUCUCAAACUAAGCUCUGAUACCAACUAUCACGGGCCGCCAACUUCGAUACUCGAAUGGGCGGAACGUGCGGCACUUGUUAGCACUUUUCACUAGCAAGUCAGCCUAGAAUUCACACCUGCGGCAAGCAAACUCAAUGGUUAGCCACGUUACAAGUCUCACACAAGUAAGGGCAAUUAUGAAGCGGGAGCAAACACGAGGCAAGCUAUCCAGAGGCAACAUCCCACACCACAAUCAGAGACAACAACACAUUCAAGUGGCACGCAAUGGCCCAACGAAGGUAACAAACAAGCAACACAUAGACUAUGAAGAAUGCAUACACAAAGGGACAUAGCAAAGCAUCAUUUUAUUCAUAUAAGGCCUUGAUAGGGCAAGGGAGUACACAGCUUAAUUCCCUAUCUGCUGGUGGCCAUGGUACUUCCUUAAGUCACCAGGUCACCCCCCCCUAAGGAGCAUUCUAAGCAAAUGAAGUCUUCCCAGGAACAUAUAUGAUUUUUGUCUGGGAGACAUAUGCAUAAUUACAAAAGUGCCAUUCCCUACCCCUGAGGUUACUUGGUGCAAGACUUGACUAAUGAUCAAGCACCAAGGCAUGCUCAUACAUACAAAAUGGCCCCCUGGAGAUGUGCCAUGACGCAGCACGUCACACUGAGCACCCCGGCCGAGUUUGAGGCCAGAGUCGAGGUGUCAUACAAAGAGACUACUUUCAUAAGCCUGUUGGGGGGGGGGGUCUAAGAGGCUUGUAGAAAAAACAAAUUGAGUUCAAACGACAAUCAAACAUGCGACAUAGGGAGGAGAUUGAAAAGUUGAAAGAAUCGUUCUUGUCCAAGCAACCAAGAUGGCACAUAUGCAAGCUAACUUUGGUAAUCAGUCUAGCUUUGGUAUCCAUUCUAGAGUCAAUACAAUAGAAGUUGAGGCACCAAUUGACACUGCUCCAGAAGUUGAGGCACUGAUGGACACUACUCCAAAAGUUGAGGCAUCGAUUGACACUAGUACUUUGUAUGAGACACCUACACCUUCACCUUCUAUUCAUCCUAAGCCACUGAAGGUAAAUUCUCUUAUAUUGUUUAAGAAAUGAUUAUUUAACUUAUACUAACUAUAACAUCAUUGUAGAAAGAUGUUAAGUGCAAAUUAUACAUUGGGCAAGGUGGUUGUAACGACCCGAAUUUGCUAAUCGGGCUUAAGGCCUUGAUUAGUGUGCCUGGAGGGCAAUAAGUGAUUUAUUAUGCUUUAAUGUGUUAUAGGUGGAUUAAUGAGAAUAUAUGAUAGUGCAUGUUUAGUGAAUUAAAUGUGCAUGUGGGCCCCGACUGGGUAUUGGGGGCGUGAAUGUGAUAAAUGAAAUAUAUGUGGUAUAUGUGUGAUAUGUCUGUACAGCACGAUCCGAGACAGUCCUGGGGAGCGGUUGGCCAGGGAGUCACAACGGGGUUGAAAUUCGGACUCGGGGCGAGUCGAGGGGUAAUUCGGGUAUUAGUUGAGUUACGGGAUUAUCGGGACAUAGAAAUAAAUAUUUGGAGAUAUAUUUGAGGAUAGAAUGUCUAGGCGGGAAUAUCUGGGGAAUUUACCAUUUUUGCCCUCGGGGACGUUUCGGUACCCCGAGCCUUGAGGUAACCUUUAGACUUAAGUUAUAUAAAACAAAUAAAUGUGUGGAAUUGUUUAGAAACCUUGAGAAACCGACCAUACUCUUCCAAGAACUGAAGUUAGCCUUUUGCUCUCCUUUCUCUUACAUUCUCUAAGGUGGAACUCAAAAGAAUUGGCUAGAAUUAAGGGGAUUUCAGCUGGGAUGAUUUAGGAGCUUGAAGCUUUGGGAUUGAAGAUCAAAAUUCUGGGACUAAGCUCAGCAAGGUAAGCUCUAAACACUAAGGUUUAGUCUUUAAUUUUCUGCUGGUUUUAGAGGUUUGCAUGUAGUUAAGCUUGCUUAAUCUUUGGGUGUUUUAACUAAGCUUUGGAGCACACUUUGAUGAGGUUUUGAUGUUGUUUCUGUGCUGGAGUAAUUAUGUUGAAUAUCUAGGAGUCUUAGCUUGAUUUUGGUGGAAAUUGGUUUGAAGAAAGGAUGAAAAAACUAAUGGAAAAUUUGGGUUUACUGUUAUUGCCGCGGCCCUAGGAGGGGUGUGCCGUGGCCCGCAUGCGCGCCGCGGCCCGCGUGGUGGACAGUGGAGAGCUAGCCUCUGUUUUGAGGCUAGCCGCGGCUCUAGAGAGUGGGGCCGCGGCCCUUAGUGUCAGUGAGGAUUUUAAUGAUAUUUUUGACUUGGGAACUUAAAGGGUAAGGCUCGGGAUGGAUUUUAUCAUUCGGAUUGGUAGAAUUCAAGGUCCCAGAGGUUAGGGUUAUGGGUUGAGGUUAUUCAUUGGAUUAGAACUUGAUGACUGAAUAUUGGUGAUGUGUUGUGACUAGGGAUUUCGACGAGGCUCCAGUGUGAGGACUGUGCUCGGGACAUCGGUGCUCAGAAAGCUCGGAACUCAGGUAAGAGAACCCUUGUUCCCAUAGAGCUUGUGUGCAGGGCUGAGCCCAAUGUGUUUAAAUGAACUGAUAUGCAGGGCUGAGCCCAGUGUGAUUGAAUGGAUUAAUAUGCAGGGCCGAGCCCAAUAUGUUAGAACUGUGGGGCGUAGCCCUUUAUCUGAUUAUGUUAGAACUCUAUGUAUGCUUGUUAUGCUUUGUGAAUUAUGAUGUGAAUGGUCGGCUUGGGCCGGGAACGGUGUAGACCGAGAACGGCGAAAGACCGAGAACGGCGAAGUGCCGAGAACGGCGUUGGGCACAAUGAGUGCAAGGCCGAGAACGGCAAAGGGGCCGGAAGCAGCGCUGAGCACGUGGAGUGCGAGUUGCCAGGGCGAGUCCCCAGAAGGAUACCUGGGAUAUCCUCACGGCAUGGUCCGCAGACCCAGGGCUUGGUAAAUGCCUGGGAUGGCUAGGUCGUACAUGUUUAGCCAUUGGUGGCAUGUUUAUAUGUUCAAUAUAUGUGAUGCAUAUGUUAUCUGCUUGUGGGUUCUCUUGCUGGGCUUCGGCUCACAAAUGCUCUGUGGUGCAGGUAAAGGGUACAGAGGUGAUCAACCAACCAUGAGUACAGCAGGCGUGAGGCGAUGUGUACAUGUUCGGCCAGCCUGGCCGCCACGGCCAGAGGAUUUUGGGAGAUGCUUGUAAAUAAACUUUGAUUUUGUCGUCUAGUCGACCUAGUUUAAUUAUUAUGUUGUAAACAUUUCUAAACUGUAUUUUGGGAUCCCAAGUGUAAACCUUUUAUGAUUUUCUAUGGAAGUUGAUAUUUCUAAGGUUUCCUCUCUGUUUAUCGCUUAAUUACACUGUUUGAUCUAAAACCUCGAUUAGCGAGAUGAAAGCACGUAUUCAAACUCACUUAGUAACGGCUUUAAGGAGGUAGGGCGUUACAGUGGUGAUGUUGUUGCUCUUGGACGAGUGGUGGCUACCAAAGGCAAUGUACAUGAGAAAAGUUUAGCACCUGGUAACUAUCACGUGGUUGUUGAUAAAUGUCUAGAUGGGAGUGCGAAACUACCUAUUUCAUUUGGGGAUGAGAUGACUCUUGUGGUUCAUGCGGUCAAUAGUUAUGUUGCUUGGCCAUCGCAUCUGAUCAUUACUUAUGAUCAUUAACAGGAACCCAAGUGACUAAUGAGAAAGUGGAUUUCACCAGCUUGUCUGACAACACAAGACCCAAAACAUCCUCCACAACAGCUUCCCACUACUCAAGAAGUGGUAGGAUCAAGUAUGGCUUGUAAGUCGCCGAUUAUCUUCAAGGUUCCCACUAGACUUCCCAUGUUUUUUAAGAUACUUCUGGGUUCAGUUAAGUAUGUAGAACCAGGAUUCAUGAUUGACAUUCUUAUGGAGACCAAUAUUAUGGGCGAACAAUAUACCUUAUAUAUCUCACAUGAGGAUAUAAUACACUUUGGACUUAUGGAAGAAAUCGGCGCGUCUUGCAUUUCAUUCUAUAUUAGUAUAAUAUAUUCUGAGUUGUGCGAUAGAGAGAUAUCACACUUUUUUAGUUUCAUUGAGCCAUCGUGGUCAUCGAGAAUUGGGGCAAAUAUGGAUAAUCAGGCUGAAAUUAUCUCAGAGCGUAUCAAUAACACAGUGAUGGGUCAAACUUGGUUAAUGCCAUACCAUUUCUUACGUCACUGGAUGUUAGUGAUCAUUGAUCCAGAUGACCAUACAUGUUACUAUCUUGAUCCACUUAGAAAAUCUCCUCCAAAUGAUUUGAAGAACCUUAUGAACAGUGUCUUUUCACACAUUAAACGAAAGACAUGAAAGAAUGAAAAAAAAUUACAAGUGGAAAAUAGUCAAUUGCCCUCGUCAAACAUCGUCAGUAGAGUGCGGAUUUUAUAUCACAAGGAUGAUGAAGGACUAUUGCUUGAAUGAGACACUCAUUGUGGUGGGAAGAAUACAUACACUUGGUGAAAUUAAUGAAACUCGAAAUGAAUGGGCAGCCAAGCUUCUUGAGCGGGUGAGUCAUAGCUAGAGUGGCUUUUGAAAUCAGAAUUAAAAAAUAUACUAAUUGUAGUUAUUAGUUAGCACUUACAUAGUUAUUGUAAGUGUAUAUUCUGAUCUUGUAAUUUUUAGAUUUGGAACAUAUUGAGUUCUAUUGAUUUUGUCCGCCUGUUGAUCCUGUCUGGACUAUGUUGUAAUUAAACAAGAAAUUAUGAAUGAAUAUAGUGGUUGAAAAUAGAGAAAUGAAAAAAAUUUCAUAUACUA